rnacentral:rRNA from 1 species
UACGUAGGGUGCGAGCGUUAAUCGGAAUUACUGGGCGUAAAGCGUGCGCAGGCGGUGAUGUAAGACAGGUGUGAAAUCCCCGGGCUUAACCUGGGAAUGGCAUUUGGGACUGCAAGGCUCGAGUGCGGCAGAGGAGACUGGAAUUCCUGGUGUAGCAGUGAAAUGCGUAGAUAUCAGGAGGAACACCGAUGGCGAAGGCAGGUCUCUGGGCUGACACUGACGCUCAUGCACGAAAGCGUGGGGAGCAAACGGG